rnacentral:rRNA from 1 species
CAAAACGACUCUCGGCAACGGAUAUCUUGGCUCUCGCAUCGAUGAAGAACGUAGCGAAAUGCGAUACGUGGUGUGAAUUGCAGAAUCCCGUGAACCAUCGAGUUUUUGAACGCAAGUUGCGCCCGAAGCCUUCUGGUUGAGGGCACGUCUGCCUGGG